UGCUGCAACAUAAACGAGCACGGACCGAACAUCUUGGUGCUUUCUUUGUUUGGAUUUGCUCUGCGCUGGACCAAUGGACCAUGGAAAUAAAAAGCCUUUCGUUUCGUUCUUCCCAUGCUGGACUGGAACACAAAAACAGUUGUUCAGUUCAGCUCAGACACUUGUUUCUUUUGAACUGCUCGAAAACAAAAAAAAAGUGAAUGUGAAUGCCCAUUUGCCGGAUCGGAAUUGUUCCGAGAACACCGCACCGCGCUUGAUUGUUCCCCACGCAAUUUCUCACAUGGAUGGUUGGCAAGGCAAUCAUCAAAUCCACUCCACGACGACGACGGAGUGCGAGGUCCAGAGUGACAAUGCGACGCAUCCAGCAUAAAUAUGUGUUUGAUUGCAAUCGGUUCGGAGGUUGAGCAUAAGCGAGCAUUCAUCAUCGCUUGGGAUUUAUUGCGCAUCAAGAUGUAGGUAUGUACCGUCACGGCGUGGUGACGGCGGGUUUAUGUAGCUGUUCAAACCAACAGCAUGGAGAAGAGUUCCACGAACAUCGAACAGCGUCGGAUUAUGCUGUGUGAACGACUUCACAUUCCGAGAAAAAUCUUUUCACUGUCGUGUGUGCGCAUUUAUUUGAGCAUCAUCGUUUAAGGUCCACAGUUAGCUCCAUUAAACGAACCGUACGAAAACAGUGCAAGUGCCUUUCCCAAAUGUCGGUUCGGCGGGGUAUGAGAAGGUUCAUUUUACCGACGUUUCAUCUGGUACCGCGGGAGAAGCAUUGAACUGCAUAUUUCACGCACAUAACAUCGGAUUUAACGAUCUGUUUGGCGUUUAUUACACCCCGGCCAAUGUUACCCCUCCCUUGAACUGGGGUAGUCGGGCAAAGAGGGCAAAAGUUGCCGUUUUUCUGUCGUGACGAGUGUACAGAGGAAACUUUCUCUUCGCACGUGCCGAUAAUAAUGAUACUAAUUACACGUGAAAAAAAUCCCACGGAAAGCAUCUAAAACUAUUGGUGUAUUAAAUUUGCUUGUAUUUGACAUGACAUCAUCCUAAUAUCGGUCGCCCCCUUCAGGACACCGUAAAAUUGAAUGGAAAAUCGAUUCUUACCUGAGCCAACCAACUAGAGGUGUCUAUCUAGUACCAAACGAUUCGCCAGUGUGUCGCCAACUCGCUUCAGUCACCGUAAUGACCAGCUUUUAAAAUGACAACAAACAUCACUCCUCAAUGGCUUCCACCACCAUGGGCACACCGGAUGACCAUUACGAAGAAAAAAAAUGUGCCCGUCGAAACCUUUCUGACCGGUUCGCUUGAACCUGGAGGAAAAAUAGUGGUGGCUGCCUAGAAAAGUUCAGAGAAGCACAAAAAAAAAAACAGCAACUUAUAUAACAAGCCAAACAUAUUAUUUUAUGCACCAUCAUACACAAAAGCCAUCUUCCGCUUUCCGUGAUGGCCUGGCCACCACCCAUCCGUACGGAGCGGGACUCGCUCGGCCGGUUCCUUAGGUUCUUCUGGUCUCCAACCGCUUUGUCUACUUCAUCCAAUCUCAUUUAUUAUCCCCAUCCCGUAAUCCUCAACCGGUGGUGUGAUGCUCCUUCAACUAUGCGUACCGUGAGUUGGGGACAACCUGAUCACCAAAAAAAAAUCAAGCAGCGCCAAACAAGCAUAGCAUAGCACAGCACACCAGGAACAAUUGUGAGGCUACCACCAUGCACGAAUAAUAUACCACAGACAUCUAUUGAUGAAGAUCUGCAGCCGAUAAGUGUUCUCCGCUGAUACACACCAAGUUUCACUGGCGCACUGCAGCACAGAUUUCACGAUCGAAUUAAAAAUUCGGAUUUUGGAACGUCGAUUUGACAUUUCUUGAACUCGCAAAAGCUGCCCUCGCAAUUUUGCUACAGGUCGGACUCGAUUAUACGGAAUCGGAAAUUUCAACUUUGUACAACAUUUCGUUCCUGGGAAAUAUGUUUGGGAAGCUGCGGAACCCGACUCCGGAUAAUCGAGUCCGACCUGUACUACGAUAUUGGAAGCUUUCAACAUUCUCCAUAGCUUGCAUGCUAAUUUGCUUCAAAAGGGAUUUGAUCAUUUCAAACAUGUUCUGAAACAACUACUUGUUUGCAGUUUUGCUACAGGGUAUAUUCUCAAAUCCUGACGGGAUAUUACUGUAAAGUUUAUUCCGAAAGUGGGUCGUGCAUCGUAUGAAGAAGCAAAGAGUUUCAGACCUAUCAGUUUGACCUCUUUUCUUCUGAAAUGCUUAGAACGCAUUGUCGAUCAUCACAUCCGUGAUGUUCAUCUGGCCAAUGUACCUCUUCAUGUGAACCAACAUGCUUACCAAUCUGGAAAGUCCACUGUGACUCUUUUACACAAAGUUGUUUACGAUAUCAAGAAGGCAUUCGCUCAAAAGCAAUCCUGCUUGGGUGUUUUCUUAGAUAUCGAGGGUGCCUUUGACAAUGUGCCUUUCGAUGCCAUAUUGGAAGCCGCACGGGGUCAUGGUAGGGAUACUCAAAAUAACUGGGACAGGUAAAAUUUUCACUUUCCAAGAAAUGUUCAAAUCGCUGUAACUUUUCAAAAAGGGCAUCACAUAUUCUCAAUUUUUUAUUGUAAGUUCAUCAACUAGUUGUGUAUCAGUGGUCAAAAUUUGGGAAGGAUCGGGCCAUUCUACACAAAGUUAUAAAGGUUCUAGAAAAAUGUAUAAUUUUCCGAUAGUCAAUUUUGAGCUGUUAUAUCUCCGGAUUCAAUGAACCGAAUGCAAUGAAAUUUUGAUCAUUUAUGAAUUUAAGGUAUUAUGACUUAAUACCUUAUAAAACAUUUGACUAAACUUAAAAUUCUUCACACGAAAGAAAAUUAUUUCGAUUAGAUUAUUUUUCUAAUAUAACACCAAUUUCUCCAAAACUUCAUCAUCGUUUCAAAAUUCGAGAUAGUAAUUAUAGUUCAUUUAAAUUCCCUCUAAUUGAAUUGAAUAUAUUUAUGUUUCAAAGAAAAGCAACCAAAUAGCCUUCAUUAAAUUGAAAAAGGAAUGGGAUGCAUAUGAAAAAUAGAUAAAUUUACUGAAAAAACAUGGAAUUAAUGAAAUCGCCAUAACUUUUUUUUCUUGUUAAUAAUUUCGAAUUAAGUCAACGGUUUUUUAAAGUUCAUUAUUUAAAUAAAUGAUCAAAAUUUCAUUGCAUUCGGUUCAUUGAAUCCGGAGAUAUAGCAGCUCAAAAUUGGCUAUCGGAUAAUUAUACCUUUUUCUAGAACCUUUAUAACUUUGUGUAGAAUGGCCCGAUCCUUUCCAAAUUUUGACCACUGAUACACAACUAGUUGAUGAGGUUACAGUAAAAAUUUGAGAAUAUUUGAUGCCCUUUUCGAAAAGUUACAGCGAGUUGAACAUUUUUUGAAAAGUGAAAAUUUUUCCUGUCCCAGUUAUUUUGAGUAUCCCCUGUAUAUCUCCAAUGAUUUCCAAUUGGAUUCACCAAAUGCUCAAAAACCGACAUCUCUUCUCGACAUUGAGUCAAGCGGCGAUUAGGAAAUUGAGUGUUUGUGGAUGCCCCCAAGGGGGAGUCUUAUCACCACUUUUGGUUAAUCUCGUAGCAGAUACGCUAUUGAGGCAACUCAAUAAUAGCGGUUUUUCUACUUAUGGUUUUGCCGACGACUACCUAGCAUUGGGUAAUUCUCGCGGAGACCGGCCCACUAUUUACACCUUGUCUUCAAAAAUGUUUAAGGUACCGAUUUUCUGAAAGCCCUCACUAAAAAAGUAAGAAAAAUGCAUUUGGUUACUCGAAUUGAUGGACCCCCCGUUAGUUAGAGCCAGUGUUGGUAAAAUCACACUCAAAGCAGACUCAUGAACCGCUUCUGCGUGAGCAAACUCGCGCGCGAUUCUGAAUCAUUUUCUCACGCGCGAGAUUUUCAUGCAAAAUCUCGUACUCACGAGUCAAGCGUCGAAAUCUCGUUCGCUUGUAAAACGAAUCCAAAUCAAUUUGAACGGCAUUCAAUGUUAUUGUUCGCUAGAUUUGCUUUUGUUCUAUCAUAUAAUAGUAAAAGCUUUGAUGUAAAUAAUAAGAACACCAAGAAAUAAAGCAAUGAGUGAAAUCGCGAGUCAACUCAUGCAUGAUUUUUUCGGCGGUGAGUUUGGCGAGUGAAGAAUCGCGCGUGAAAUAACUCAACCAUGAGAUUUGAGAAUUUGAGUUUUUACCAACACUGGUUAGAGCCACAAUAAUUUUUGCAGACCCCUCGAUUUUGGUCAAACGGUGGCUCACUUAAACCGUUAUGACUCGAAAGUUUCUCCAAAAAACCACCUCAAAACGAAUUGUUGUUGAAAAGAGGAAAGAUAGAGCUACUAUUUACAAUAAUUAAAAGUUGGGUCGGCCAUAUUGAUUUUGGCCGCCAUCUUGGAUUUUUAUACCAAAACAUUACAUCAAUUGAAAGCUGAGGCAUUUAUACAUAACAUAUCAAAAAAUUAGAGAUGUCUUUUUCUUCUUUCAAAAGUUAUCUGCCGUUUUGUAAAUCAUGCCACUUUUGCGCACUGGGCCCGGUGCCGGCUGUUUAUAUAAAUACAGCGUUAUUUCGCAGUGUUUACGAACACAAAUUUAAAUUCUGAUCCCACUAAUGGAAAGCUGAAGGUUUAAGCUUUUUAAAACACUAAAAAAGUUAUGAAAGCAUUGCCCGCAUCAUUGAGAAACAGUCAAAAACGGAAACGAACCUCUGAUUUGGCCAAAUUUUGCGGCACGUACCUUUGUGUAUACAUGCAGGCGUAAACUCAGAUGCUGUUGCAUGUCGUUGCCGAUGCGCAUGGAAAUGUAUGGGGAAAACGUGGCUUAAUUUACAAAACUGCAGAUAACUUUUGAAAGGGAAAAAGACAUCUCUAAUUUUUUGAUAUGUUAUGUAUAAAUGUCUCAGCUUUCAAUUGGGUUUUUAAAUUAAGAAAAAUUCAAUGAUAUUCUAUUUUUAAACAAAAGAGCACCUUUUUCUGAGCCACCAUGAUUUUUUGCAGAUUUUUAGAACUUUAUUUUGGUACCUAUAAUCAAUUUCAAAUAGAUUUUUUGAAAUCACCUUUUGACAACUGGGCAACUGCAUGACAGCUCCGCUCAGUACAAAAUGCGACGAGGGAUGAUUCGACAAAUCGCUCCCAUACAAAUUUCAAAUUGAUUUUUAAAUAGGUUCCCGGGUACCAAAUUUGAUGAAAAUUUGGAUUUCGGCUCAGUUUGGCAUGCAGAUUCAGAAUAUGAAAUUAUCUCAACACCACUAAAGUAGCCAAUUGAUGCAAAAAUUUUGAAAAUCGGCGGUUGCCCUCAUGGCGAAAAAAAUGUUUUGGUGUAAAAAUCCAAGAUGGCGGCCAAAAUCAAUAUGGCCGACCCAACUUUUCAUUAUUGUAAAUAGUAGCUCUAUCUUUCCUCUUUUCAACAACAAUUCGUUUUGAGGUGUUUUUUGGAGAAACUUUCGAGCUAUAACGGUUUAAGUGAGCCACCAUUUGACCAAAAUCGAGGGGUCUGCUAAAAUUAUUGUGGCUUUAACUAACGGGGGAUCCAUCAAUUUGAGUAACCAAAUGCAUUUUUCUUACUUUUUUAGCGAGGGCUUUCAGAGAAUCGGCACCUUAACCCUCUAAUACCCAAAUUUUCGAUUUUGAUCUCAAUGUCAUUUUUCGUCAUCUAAAAUCGUUUUAAACAUGUUUUGGAAGAUGAUUCUUUUUAAUUCUCGAUUUUGUGAAUUUCAGUUUUUGAUUUUUAUUAAUUUUUAUUUUUGAACAUCCCCACACUUUUUAUGUUUUUCCUGGAAGCCUAUUUGGGAGACGGAUUUUUUGAGACGAAAACAUUUUGAGAUUUUAUGAUUAUUAUUGAAAUAUUUUUAUUUUAAAUUUUUUUCAUAGAAAAUUUUAUUCUCCGUGUAAUUUUAAGAAAAAUAAUUUUAGAGUGUAUUCGACUCCCUCAAACUAUUUUACUAUGAUAGUAUGAUUUGGGAAAAAUUUUAAAUAUGUUAAUUGUUCCGAUUCAAUACAAAAUAUACAAUGACUUCUGAAAGGUGACUAAAACAUCAAUUUUACAAUGAUUUAAAAAAAAUGUUAAUACGAUUUAAAAGACACUAAAAACCAUUUUGAGAUAUACAGAAUAGUUCCAAAUAUCAGCCAAAAAUAUAGAAAAAUUGAUUGUCCGUGAAACAAAAAUUACAGAAAUGCUCAAAUUAUACCCCGUCUAAAGGCGGGAUUGGGUAUUAGAGGGUUAAACAUUUUUGAAGACAAGGUGUAAAUAGUAGGCCGGUCUCAGCGAGAGUUACCCAUUGUAAGUCGGUAUGUGCAUCAGCACCCUUUUCGACCUGAUACAAAACGCUCUUCAGGUAGUUGAGGGUUGGGUCACCAAUAUGGCCUUUCGGUAAAUCCGAGUAAAACAUCUAUUGUUCUUUUCACGGAAAAGCGAAACCGUAAUGGUGUUCGACCUUUACGUCUCUUUGAUUCUGAAAUCAAUGUUACUAAACAGGUAAAGUACGUUGGAGUCAUUCUUGAUUCCAAGCUUUCCUGGACACCUCAUAUUGAGUUCAGAAUCAAGAAAGCUUGUAUGGCCUUCGGGCAAUGCCAGCGAACCUUUGAUACACCUUUGGGUCUUAAACCCAAGUAUAUCAAAUGGAUUUACACAACUGUUGUUCGUCCUAUAUUGGCUUAUGGAUGUCUAGUGUGGUGGCAAAAGGGCGAAGUGAGAACGGUCCAAUCAAAAUUAGGCCAUCUCCAAAAGAUGUUCUUAAUGGCGAUGUCGGGAGCGUUCUUUUCAACUCCCACGGCAGCGCUCGAAGCUCUCUUUGACGUUGCCCCACUACACAUUCAUCUCAAACAAGAAGCACUUUCUUGCACUUACCGUCUAUGGUUACUCGGUUUACUAGAGGAAACUCCUGUGAACCGCAGUUCAACACACACCUCGUUGUUUCCACUUUUGGUGAAUUGGGACAAAGUUGUCCUUGCUCCAAGUGAUCUUACAAUUGCUUGUAAUUUCCCAUUCCGGACAUUUUCCACGAAAUUCCCUUCCCGGGAAGAGUGGACAUCUGGCUAUCUGGAAAGAAGUAUUUCAGACGGCAUCGUAUGCUACACUGAUGGCUCCCUUCUCGAAGGUCGAGCAGGUGCUGGUGUUUAUUCUCGUGAGCUAAGACUGCAUCAGUCUUACUCACUUGGUAGACACUGCACCGUUUUUCAGGCCGAAAUCUUGGCUCUUAUGUGCGGAGUGCAAUCAGCACUUCAGCAGCACGUAAUGGGCAAAGUAAUAUACUUCUGUUCAGAUAGCUAGGCUGUUAUUAAAGCACUUGCUUCGGCCAACUCUAGGUCGAAGAUAGUUAUCGCUUGUCGAAAUCAAAUCGAGGAGCUAAAUUCAGCAAACGCUGUUCACCUUGUAUGGGUACUUGGCCAUUCUUCCAUCACUGGAAAUGAAUUGGCUGAUGAGUUAGCUCGCACUGGAGCAUCACAUGACUUCAUUGGCCCUGAGUCAGCUAUUCUGAUAUCCAAGAGUGGGGUAAAGCUUCAGAUUGACACCUGGGUUGCCACUCAGCACAAACAGUACUGGAAUAGUUUGGAGUCAUGUCGUCAAGCCAAAUUGUAUUGUAUUGAUUGAGCCAUCUCCAAGGGUGGCGAAGUAGGUAUCUUAGAAAUCUGUCAAAGCAGAAUUGCAGUAUUCUGGCCAAAGCAUUAACUGGCCACUGCCGACUCAGCUAUCACAUGACGAAUAUUCAGCAAGCUGAUUCAUUUGCAUGUGAUAGCUGUGAAUCCGAUUAUGGAACUUCGUAUCAUUUAAUAAGUUAACUGUCCAGUUUUUGCGCAAUUGCGUUUCCGAGUACUCGGAAAACACUUAUUAAGUGAAAUUGACUUCAGAAACCUGAAUCUUCAGGACGUUCUGUUGUUUUUAACCCGCUGUGGUAAAGAGCUAUAGGCUCUCUUUACGCUUUAUGCGUUAUCACAGUGCCCUUCUCAGGGCGCUGUUUGAACCCAUUGUGGUACGCUUAUGCGUUAUUACAGUGUACUUUUCAGGACGCUAUGUGAACCCAUUGUGGUACGCUUUUGCGAGUAUGAUGAUCCUAUUCCCUUACCUGUCCUUUCCCAUGUCCUAUCCUUUUUCCUACCCUUCUCCGUCAGGUAAAUGAUGAAUAGGCUCGUGUUCAUGGCGAUGGCACAAAUUUCCCAAAUGGAGGAGAACGUGCCUCUGGAGCCGACCUACUGAUACCUGAUAUCUGAAGGAUUCCACCAGAUCUUCCUCCAGGAAUUGCUUCAGGGACUCCUGGGAUUGCUUCAGGAUUUCUUUUUUUGAUUCCUCCAGAAAUUCAUGCAUGCAUUCCUCCAGGAAUUAAUUCAAGAAUUCCCUAAUAAAUGAUGUCAGCAAUUCAUCCAGGAAUUUAUCCAGGAAUUCUUCAGAAAUUCUUCCAGGAUUUUCUCUAAGAAUACCUUUUGGAAUUUUUCCAGGAAUUCCUCCAAGAAUUCUUCCAGAUCUUCCUCCAGGAAAUGCAGCAAGGAUUCCUCCAGGAAUUCCGCUAAAAAUUCCUCCAGGAGCUUCUUUAGGGAUUUUUCUAGGGAUUUCUCCACGAAUUUCUCCAAUGAUUCCUCAGGGAUUCCUUCAGAAAUUCCUUUGAGGGUUUCUCCAGGAAUUCCUCAAGAAAUUUCUCUAAAAAUUCUUCCAGGAAUUUCUCAGGGGAAAUUUUCAGAAAUUUCUCCCAGGGUUCCUCUAGUCUAAAGAUUCACCCAGAAACUUAUUCAGUAAUUUUUAUAAAAAUUCUUCCAGGAAUUCCUUCAAGGAUUCCUCCAGCAAUUUUCAAAGGCAUUCUACCAAGAUUUCAUUCAGUAAUUUCUUCAGGGGAAAUUCUCGAGGAAUUACCCCAAGAAGUUCUCCAGGAAUUCCUCCAGGAAUUUCUCUAGGAAUUUAUCCAGGAAUUGCUCCUGGACGGACAUCCUUCAGAAAAUAUGACAGCAAAUCCAGGAUUUUCUUCAGAAAAUUUUCUGGGGAUUUUUUCACAAAUUCUUCCAGGAAAUUCUACAAGAAUAUCCUGAGGAUUUUUUUUUAGGGAUUCUUCCUGGCAUUUCUCUAGGAAUUUCGCCUGAGAUUUCUCCAUUAAUUGCUUCCGGUAUUCAUCCAAGGAUUUCUUCUCGAACUUUUUCAGGGGUUUUCUCAGGGAUUCCUCCAGGAAAUCCUUCGAAGAUUCCUCCAGGAAAUCCUCUAGGGAUUUCUUCAGAAAAUAUUUCAGGAAGUUCUCCAGGAAUACCUUCCAGGAAAUUCCCCUGGAGAUUUCUCUAGAAAUUCAUUCAGUAGUUCUUUCAAAAAUUCUUCUAGAGAUUCCACCAGGAAUUACCUCAUGGAUUUUUCCAGCAAUUUCCACAGGAAUUCCUCCAGAAUUUUAUCAGAAAUUUCAGAAACUCCUCCAGGAAUUACCCCAAGAUUUUUUUUCAGGAAUUUCUUCAAAUAUUUCUCCAGGAAUUGCUCCUGGGCAUCCUUCAGAAAUUAUGUCAGCAAUUCCUCUAGGGAUUCCUCCAGGUAUUUCUCCAGGAAUUUCUCCUGAGAUUCCAUGAGGAAUAGCUUCAUGGAUUCCUCCAGAGUUUCUAGAAGGAUUUUUCUAAGGAUUUCUCAAAGAAAUCCUUCAAAGAUUCCUCCAGGAAAUCCCUCAGAAGUUCUUCCAGGGAUUCUUUCAGAAAAUCCUAUAGGAAUACCUUCAGAAAUUCUUCCAGAAAAUUCUCCAGGAAUACUUUCAGGAUUUUUUCAGGGAUUUCUCCAGAUAUUCAUUCAGAAAUUUCUCUAGAGAUUCCUUCAGGGAUUUCUCCACAAAUUUCUUCAAGGAUUCCCCCAGGGAUUCUUUCAGGAAUUCCUUCGGGGAUUUCUCAAGGGAUUUUUUUUUUCAGAAAUAGAAAAAUAAUAGAAAUAGCAAUGCCCCAGAAUUCCUCUGGAGAUUUUAAAAAAAAAUUCAGUAAUUCUUUCAAGAUUUCCUCUAGAGAUUCCUCAAGCAAUUCCCACAGGAAUACCUCUAGGAAUUCCUCCAGGCAUUCCUCCAUGAUUGCAUCCAGGAAUUUCUCCAGGAACUUCUCCAGGAACCUCUCCAGGAAUUCCUCCAGGAAAUAACCCAGAAAUUUCUUCAGGAUUUCCUCCAGGAAUUGCUUCUGGGUAUCCUUCUGAAAUUAUAUCAGCAAUUCCUUCAGGAAUUUCUCCAGGAAAUCCUCUAGGGAUUUCUUAGGAGAUUCUUCUAGGAAAUGUUCCAGGAAUACUUUCAGGAUUUUUUCAGGGUUUCCUCCAGAAAUUCCUCUAGGGUUUUCUUCAGAGAUUCCUCCAGGGAUUCCUCCAGAAAUUUCUCCAAGGGUUCUUCCAGAAAAUCCUCUUAGAAUUUCUCAAGGGAUUUUUUCAUAAAUUUCUUCAGUAAUUCCUCCCAGAAUUCCUCUGAAGAUUUCUUCAGAAAUUCUUUCAGGGAUUGCUCCAAGAAAUUGCUCCAAGAAUUCCGGCUGGGUCUCAUCCAAGUAUUCCUCCAGGAAUUACGCCCGGAGUUUGUUCAGAAGUUUCUCCAGGCAUUCCUCUAGGAUUCUCGCUAGAGGUUUUCUCAGUAAUUGCUCCAAGGAUUCCUCCAGGAAUUCCUUCUGGGAUUUCUCCAAGAAUUCCCCCAAGGAAUCCUCCAGAAGUUUAUGUAGGAUUUCGUCUAGGAUUUUAUCAUGAGAUCUCUUCAGAAAUUUCUCUGGGUAUUCUUCCCAUAAUUUAUACAGGAAUUUCAUCAGGUAUACUUUCAAAAAUUCUUCCAGGGAUUCCUCCAGGAAUUUCACCGGGAAUUCCUCCAGGCAUUCCUUUAAAAAUUGCAACAGGGAUUCAUCCAGGUUUUUCUUCAAGGAUUUAUCCAGGAAGUCUUCCAGGGAUUUCUCCGGGAAUUCCUCAAGUAAUUUCUUCAAAAAUUCCUCUCAAGUUCUCUUCAAAAAUUCAGUCAGGAGUUCCUUCAAAAAUUUCAGGAAUGUACCCAAGAACUUUUUCAGGAUUACGUGAUGUUAUUUUUUUUUUAUUAUUCUAAGAAUUUUUGAAGGAAUUCCUCCAGCGAAUAAUAUUGGAAGAUAAUUGAAAAGGGAUGCAUAGAGGAACCAGGAAAUUCUAGGUUAGUCUUCAUAAAAGUUCAGCUAUAAUUUCUUGUGAAUAUUUUAUAGACUUUAACAAUAUAACAAUCAGAGCAAAAUAAUGCACGAGUGAAUAAAAAUCCUUAAUUUUCCCGAAGUUGGUCACCGCUACCAGCAUCACAUUGAUUUGUAUACAUCAGGCGAGUUUUUUUAAUGCAUUGAACAAAAUACAACAGCGUGAGAGCUGAAGGAUUAAAUAAUGCUUUAGGAAUAUAUUGUUAGUAUACUCAAUUUCAUCGUGCUGCGUUUAGUUAUCAAAGCUAGUAGGUACAAAUUUGCGAAGGGUGCUUGAACCCCCCUCCCCCCUGUCCGAAAAGCUGGCAACGCCCUUGGUAACAUAUGCUAGAAUUUCUCUAGAAAUUCCAACUUCUCUAUUUCCAGAAAUUCUAUUAGGAAUUUCUCUAGAGUUUUCUUUUGGAAUUCCUUUAACUGGAGUUCCAGCAGGAAUUUCAUAAAAAAUGCCUCGAGUUCCCCAUGAAUAUAAUCCAUGGAAGAGUUCCUCAAUGAGUAUUCAGAAUAGUCCUGGGAAGAAUCGCCAAAGACAUUUCCGGAAACAUCCUAGGAAGGUUGCCCGAAAGAAUCCCAGCAAAAUUACCGAGAGAAAUCCCUAGAGAGAUUCUUGUAGGUAUCAUAGUAAGAAUCACUUGUGAAAUCCCCGCUGCAGUUCCUGGAUGAAAGUUUUUUGAAGAAAUACCAGGCGUUGGCGUAGCCAGCUUUUUUCAUUCAUUCUCCUUGAUAAACACAAGAAAGAGCCUCUUCCAUCCUUCUCUUUCACGUGUUUGUUAAUGAGAGUGAGUAAAAAAAGAGAAAGCUGGCUACGGAGGAGGAUCAUUCAAGAAGAAUCUUAGGAAAAAUCUGUGGAGGAAUUUUCAAAGGAUUCUAGGAUGAAUCAUAGUAGAAAUUUCAGUAAUUACACUGCUGAUUGCUGAGAGAAAAGUGUUAAUUAUAGCACCGACUUUUCAGAGAAACUUAAAAUAAUUCUUAAUACGAGAAUCGAACUCAGAUCUUCCGAGUGAGAGCUCACGCCUAACCCCUCUAGGCUGUCUCACCAAGUUGAAGAGAAGGCAAUCAAAGAUAAACAUGUUCCACCAUAAAGGAACAAAUUGUUGUACCGCUUCGGUCACAUAGAGCGAGAGAGAGCAGUCCACGCAGCGAGGCAGACGACUGAGCGUAGCUGUCCUCGUUUACGUUACUGCAUGUAAAUUUCAAGCGAAUAUGUCUCAAAAUCUGUAAACAGUGCGCAUGAUUGGCUGAUUACUAAGCGGACAGUAUCAUCUCACGGUAAAUGGCUGUAAUUUUGUAGCUUCUGCUAUAAUUUUCAGUCGAUGCUUAACUUACGUGUUGUUUAAUUUUCAUGAUUUCUUUCUGUGUAGAGAAGUCCCUGAAAGAACUGGUAGAAGUACACACCUAGAAAUUCUGAAAUUCGCACGAAACGGAAUCACCAAAGAACGUAAACGUUUUCAAGACUGAAUCAUAAUUUGGACUCAAUUUUACGCGCAUCAUGUAAGUGCUGGUUGGUUGCGUUAAAUGUCAACAAAUUCGUUUCACCAGAAACGUAGAAGCAGUAUCACGUUCAUCAGCCACCUUCUAACUCGGUGAAAUAGCCGAGAGGUAAAAGAUGUGGCUCACGAUCAGGAGAUCCGGUGUUCGAAUCCACGCAUGGCGUCAUUUACUUUUCUAUGUUUGACAGCUUUGACAGCGGUUUUAGCGAUUGCUAGACGCUAAGAAAAAAAUAAGUUUUAUUUUGGGGUGUCUUGAACGACGUAAAUUUACAUGUUUUAACCUCUAAAUUUGUGUUUUUGGAGAUGCUCGUAUAUGUCAGGUUCAGGACACUUAAAAUUACAUGAUAUUUUCUAGGUGUGUAUUCUGGAAGAAUCCAUAGAAAAGAGCCGGAAGGAAUUUCUGGAGGAAUUUCAGGAGGAAUCUCAAGAAAUUUCGAGGAAGAAUUCCAGCAAGAAUGCCAGGAUAAAAUCCCUUAGGAAUCAUUUUCUGUAGGAAGAAUUGCUAGAAGAGAGAGAAAUACCUUGAAGAACCCUUUGAGGAAGACAAAGAGGUGUUUCUGCAGGAAUUUCAUGGGGAAAUUCUGGUGGAAUCUUCGGGUAAAACCUUUGAAGGAAUUUCUGGAUAAGCUCUUGUAGCAAUCCCCUGAAAAACAUUCGAAGGAACGCCUGCAAAAAUUCCAGGAAGAUUUCCCUGAAGGAUUUCUGUACGAAAGCUAGAAGAAAGCUCUAGAAGAAUUCCUAGCAGAUUUUUUGAAAUACCACAGUUAGAAUUUCUGGAGGAGUCAUAGCAAGAAUAGCUGGAAGAGCCACAGGAAUAAUUACUUGAUGAAUCCCAGCUAUAUUUUUUUAAGGAAGACUACGAAGAGCUUAUGGUGGAUUCCCAAGAAAAAUUACUGGAGUAAUCUCUGCAGGAGUCUCUGAAGGGGUCACCGAAUUAACUUCUGGAAUAAUCUCACAAGGGAAGCUUACGAUGGUGUCCCCCGGGGAUUUCAACCGGACUAUUUUUUUAGCAUUCUACAUGUGGAAAUAUGAUAAAAUCUAAAGCCUUUCGGGUGAUGGGCCAGUAAUGUAGUCAGGAGGGGCUCUCGAAGGGGCAAAUUUGACCAAACAUAACAUUUUUGGAAAAGCUCAACCGUCAUCAAUAUGCAAAUUUCAACAUAUAUUGCAGUAGAAACUGGCAGAAUAUGCAUGAAUACAUGAUUUCGCAACAAAUUUAAUAUACCAUAGGCGUUGCCAGGAUGAGAUGGGUGAUACACAUAGUGAUACAUUUUUAUUCAAAUAACAUCAACUAGUUCUUACCUUGGCAACGCCUAAGGUAAAUUAAAUUUGUUGCGAAAUCAUGUAUUCAUGCAUAUUCUGCCAGUUUCUACUGCAAUAUAGGGUGGGCGGGGCAAGAUGGGUCACCUUUUAAGUAAUUCACAUUUUCUCAACGAAAAACGUCAAAAUAUAAGAUUUGUUCCGCAUUCAUAUAUGCUCCAUAUCCAUACUGAAUAAACAAGAGCUACUAGUAAACAUUUUAUAGAUUUAUUUGGAAUAUAAAAAACUUUACGAUUUGAGUGGUCCUAAGGCGUCUUGAAAAUCGAUGUUUUCACUAAAAAAUUAUCAUAAUUUUAUGUUAUAAUUUUGAGUGUUCAUUCCGCUUGAUUGAAGUCAUUUAUGAGAUAGUCUUGUAAUGAAAAAUAAAUAACUUUUGAAUGCUCCAAAAAUACGUUCAAAAUUGAAGGUGACCCAUCUUGCCCCGCGGCCGUUUAUAUGGAGAUUAUAUGGAAUGUAUCGCAUAAGAAAAAUGGCUAAAAACCAUUUUAUUUUUUAUUUCCAAUGAGAGUGAAUAAUUUUUCAAUCAAUGCCCCAAACUUUUGUAUAUUCAUGCUGGUCAUCUAACAAAAUUAUUAAUCUAAACAAAACAUGAGUAAUGCGCCCAAAAAUGGCACUGACCCAUCUUGCCCCGUGACCCAUCUUG